AUGAGGUACAGGUACACCACAUGGCCUAGGUAUGUGGUAGGCUAUAUCAUCCAGGUUUCUCUAAGUACAUUCUAUGAUGUUCAUACAGCGACGCAGUUGCCUAAUGAUGCAUUUCUCUGUAUGUAUCCCAGUCAUUAAGUGAUGCAUGACUAUAUAUUUAAGAACUCUGGGUUAAUCAUAUUCUUCUAGAACUUUCUUCUCAUAUAUUCUCCUUAUUUCCCACAUUACGAGUUCACCUCACCCCCCACCAAAAGGAGUUCCCAUGCUGUAGGGAGUAUAGAGAAACGUAAUUUCUUUCCCUUCCGUAUCAUGUAUAGUUUACAAAACCAAAAAUUAGCAGGUCGUUCUGUGCAUCAGAGGAAUUUACCUUCUUAAAUUGUGGAACACAGCCCUUCAGUGCUUGCUUUGUAUUUAAAACUGAGUAACCUUACCUAACUGACACCCUCCCAACAGAAAAUCAGAAAUGUUUCAUUCAUGCUUCCAAUUCUAUAAUGAGAAAAAUACCACAUCUCAAAUUUAAGCCAUUAGAAAAAACGACCGAGAUUUUUAACUUAUCCUCCUUCAAGAAACAAUCUUAUAAAAGACCCCUAGAUGGGGCUAUAACUUCACAAAUACAACAGGCUCUCAGAAUCCAGCAAAAGCAGCCUAGAAUUGAGUGGAAUUCUGAAAUCACAAUCUUGCCAAUUUUCUUUUUUCAAACUUGGUGUAUUAUGGGCAUAACACUUGACUCAUAAUGAGUCAAGUAACAUCACAGCUGUCAACAUUUGUCUCCUAAUAAUGCCUGGUGAUAAAUAAUUCAAUAAAUAUUAGGCAAUGAGAAUGACAAAUGUAUUUAUUCCUGGGUUUUAUUUUUGUUUUUGUUGGGGAGGAACUGGAUUGGGGGAGGUGAGGGGGGAUAUCAACCAGUUUGCUAUUUACCUGGGCCCA
rnacentral:lncRNA from 1 species